rnacentral:rRNA from 1 species
UACAGAGGUCUCAAGCGUUGUUCGGAUUCAUUGGGCGUAAAGGGUGCGUAGGCGGCGCGGUAAGUCGGGUGUGAAAUCUCGGAGCUUAACUCCGAAACUGCAUCCGAUACUGGAUGGCUUGAAUCCGGGAGAGGGAUGCAGAAUUCCAGGUGUAGCGGUGAAAUGCGUAGAUAUCUGGAGGAAUACCGGUGGCGAAGGCGGCAUCCUGGACCGGCAUUGACGCUGAGGAGCGAAAGCUAGGGGAGCAAACGGG